AAGCAGUGGAGUCAGAACCCACUUAAAAAAACGAGGCGGAUUCCGAAAAGCCUUAUGAGUAGGAAAAAC
rfam:Flavobacterium sp. ABG contig12, whole genome shotgun sequence.